rnacentral:rRNA from 1 species
UACGAAGGGCGCAAGCGUUGCUCGGAAUUAUUGGGCGUAAAGGGUAGGUAGGUGGUUACGUAUGUCUGGGGUGAAAUCCCUGAGCUUAACUCAGGAAGUGCCUUGGAAACGGCGUAACUAGAGUACUAGAGAGGUUCGUGGAAUUCCCGGUGUAGCGGUGAAAUGCGUAGAGACCGGGAGGAACAUCAGAGGCGAAGGCGGCGAACUGGAUAGUAACUGACACUGAACUACGAAAGCGUGGGUAGCAAACAGG